GAUGAGCGCUGGCGGCGUGCCUAAUACAUGCAAGUCGAGCGAACAGACGAGGAGCUUGCUCCUCUGACGUUAGCGGCGGACGGGUGAGUAACACGUGGAUAACCUACCUAUAAGACUGGGAUAACUUCGGGAAACCGGAGCUAAUACCGGAUAAUAUAUUGAACCGCAUGGUUCAAUAGUGAAAGACGGUUUUGCUGUCACUUAUAGAUGGAUCCGCGCCGGAUUAGCUAGUUGGUAAGGUAAAGGCUUACCAAGGCAACGAUGCGUAGCCGACCGGAGGGGGUGGUCGGCCACACUGGAACUGAGACACGGUCCAUACUCCUACGGGACGCAGCAGUAGGGAAUCUUCCGCAAUGGUCGAAAGCCUUACGGAGCAACGCCGCGUGAGUGAUGAAGGUCUUCGGAUCGUAAAACUCUGUUAUUAGGGAAGAACAAAUGUGUAAGUAACUAUGCACGUCUUGACGGUACCUAAUCAGAAAGCCACGGCUAACUACGUG
rnacentral:rRNA from 1 species